ensembl:miRNA MIR1224 microRNA 1224
CUUGCCCUUGGUGAGGACUCGGGAGGUGGAGGGUGGUGUUGCCAGGGCCAGGGCACUGUCUCAGCUCACUUCUCCCCCCACCUCCUCUCUCCUCAGGUGCGACUGCAG